GCGUCCGUAGCUCAGUUGGAUAGAGCAACAGCCUUCUAAGCUGUGGGUCGUAGGUUCAAAUCCUACUGGACGCA
rnacentral:tRNA from 1 species